rnacentral:rRNA from 1 species
AACGAACGCUGGCGGCAGGCUUAACACAUGCAAGUCGAACGAACCUUUCGGGGGGAGUGGCAGACGGGUGUGUAACGCGUGGGAAUCUAACCUUCUCGACGGGAUAGCUCCGGGAAACUGGAAUUAAUAGCGUAUAGGUCCUGAGGGAGAAAGAUUUAUCGGGGAAGGAUGAGCCCGCGUUGGAUUAGCUAGUUGGUGGGGUAAAGGCCUACUAAGGCGACGAUCCAUAGCUGGUCUAAGAGGAUGAUCAGCCACACUGGGACUGAGACACGGCCCGAACUCCUACGGGAGGCAGCAGUGGGGAAUAUUGGACAAUGGGCGCAAGCCUGAUCCAGCCAUGCCGCGUGAGUGAUGAAAGCCCUAGAGUUGUAAAGCUCUUUCAGUGGGGACCAUAAUGACGGUACCCACACAAGAAGCCCCGGCUAACUUCGUG